rnacentral:lncRNA from 1 species
CCUACGGACGUAUCCUUCACAUGCCGAAGAGAAAGUUUCAAUGCUCCAUGGCACCGAGUUUCGGUCGCCUUGGGAUGGCCACGAACAUUCCAUCAUCCGCAUACAAGCCCAUGCAUGAGUACCAAAUUCUUCGAGUUAGCAAUUCCCCUCACCUCUGUGAGCUUUGCAUAACUCUUUUGGUCGUUGAGCAACUCAUUCCACCUUGGAUGGUCUCGUCCUUUACCAAGUGCCU